AUGGGUAAUUUAUUUAAACAUAUCUAUAAUUAACUUAUUUGAAUAAUAAAAAGAUUUUUUGACGAGUUUCAAUGACAGCAAUUUAACAUCUUUUGUGAGGUUAGUAUAAAUGGACGCGAGUUUAAAAUUUAGUAACAUAAAAGAAAAUUUAUCUAAAAUGAAGUUCCUAUAUAUCCUACUGCUUAUCUCGGCUCUAAUGGCGCUGUCCUUCGCCAAACCUAAUAUGUUCGACGACAUUAUUCAUCAAGCCCAAGACGCGUUCAUUAACCGCACGGAAGGUUUUAUGAAAAUGUCAGAGAACUUAACAGGAAUGAAGACGUAAAAGAAUUGAAGGAAAACAAAUAAAUAUAUUUGACUUUGGAA